CUCGCAGGGUGAUUGAAAGAGGAAACAACUGGAUCAAAUCGGACAGCAGCCACAGAGUGGUUCUCAGAGAGCCUGGCUGUUGGGACAAGGAACGGAAGUAGAACGAUCCUCAGAGCUUGGUGUGUCAGCAUCAAGAAACAAGGACAACAAGGACCUGAUCUGAAAACAAGAUAGAAAGUACAGAGAAUGACAUUCGAAGUUGUUCUUUGACAUACAGGGAGGCAUCCCAAGGAUAUCAGCCAGCCAUCAUAUAUCAAGCUGCAGUGAGACCAGAUACCUGCUCCUCUACCCCAGUGUUCUUCUUAAAGGAUGCCCAUGGAAGGACACUCUUGUGUUUGCUUAUGAGAUACAGAUGUUGGGAUUCAUCCAAGGGACCACGAUGAGGCACGGUAGAGCCCAUAUGAGGAUCUGCAGAGUUGAUGCAAGAGAUCUUGCAGUGAGUGACCUCUUGCUUUAGAGCCUGCCUGGCUCAGUUGCCAAAAUGUUCCAGCCUUGAGUGGGGCCUCUGUGUUGUGGUUGCCAGGGGUCUGUAUAGAUACAUAUGCAGGCAAGAUGCUU
rnacentral:lncRNA from 1 species